CCAAGGAUCCUCCUGCCUCAGCCUCCUGAGUACUGGGAUUACAGGUGUGCACCACCACGCCUGGCAUGACAAAGGAAUUAAGAGGUAUUGUGUACAUGGACCAACUUCCUACAAGGAAGCCUACUUGAGAUGAAAAGAUUUGCUCCACCAAACAUUCCUGCCAUGAUGUUCUGCCUCAUUUCAGGAUUGAAAGCAAUGAGGCCAAGUGACCAUGGACUAGACCCUCUGUGCAUAUAAUUCUGCCAGAGAGACCAACAUGGCAACAGCUGGUCCCAGUACAACACAGCACGUGACGUAAUAGAGAUGGAUGAAAGGAACUGCAGAAGCAAGAGGAAGCCAUGGCCACCUCAGGCUGGGAGAGUCUGAGGAGCAGAGGAGCAGACAUUGUCAGCUGAGUUGUGUUUUAGUAAGGAUUGCUUAGACCAAUGUAGAGAGGAAUGAUGUUUGCAUGUGUGUGUUUGUAAAUUAUUCCCAGUGAAAAGAAGAGUGACUAUACACUUGACCUCACCCCAAAUUUAAUUUUUAAAGAAAGUAAUCAUAAGUAAAGAUAAUUUCAAAUAUAACACUAUAGGGCAUAGUAUUGAUAAAUGGGAAGAAAACUGGUUCUUAAAGAGCGUCCCACUCACUUACCAUGCCCUGAAAUUAACUGAGAGCUCAUUUGUCAAGAGUGCACCUACCCUACAGAGAAUUCUUCCAAUUAACAUCAAAAGCGAUCAUUCUUAACCUCUCAUGCAUUAAGAAAAAUCUUGUCUGCACCCAAUGUUCUGUUCAUAAUCAAUGGAGCCCUUUAUGUAUGUUAUUUCAAAUUUAUCACCCUGUAUAUUACUAGAAUGAAUGAAUUAAUAAAUGAAUCUGCUGUAGGUGCAGAAGCUAGA